GGCGAAUUGGUGGAACUGGAAGACACAGUGGACUUAAAAUUCACUGGCUUAUGCCGUGCCGGUUCGAGUCCGGCAUUCGCCACCA
rnacentral:tRNA from 1 species